rnacentral:rRNA from 1 species
UGGAACAUGAUGGGUGUGUGAUAUCGUGUUGAGUGUGGUGACAUGUGGAUCAUGGAGGGUGAGAAUCCCGUUAAGUGUGUUGACGCUAUAUCCCUUAGGGAGUGAGAACCGCGCGGGAAAGAUGGAGAGAACUUUGAAAAGAGAGUUAAACAGUACGUGAAAUUGUUGAAAGGGAAACGAUUGAAGCCAGUCGUACCUUCGGGUAAUCAGCCUUUCGGGUGCGAUUAUGUGGAGUGUGAGGAGCUUAAACACCUUCAUGUUUUGCAUAUUCGUACUCUUGGGUGUACUUGCCCGUGUGGUUGGUUAACAUCAAUUUUGGUGGUCAUAAAAUGACUGGAGGAAUGUAGCUUCGAUCUCGUAUUGAAGUGUUAUAGCCUUCGGUAGAUGUGAUGAUCGAGAUUGAGGAUUGCAACGGAUACCCUUCGGGGCUACCUGUCUGAUCUCUGAUCGUUGCUCUGGUGCCCGAAAGCUUGCUUACGGUUAUCAAAGUCGAUGGUCAAUAGGUUAGAACGGGUUAAAUUCGUUAAGGAUGCACCCUUAAAUGAAC